UGAGGAAUAUUGGUCAAUGGACGAAAGUCUGAACCAGCCAUGCCGCGUGAAGGAAUAAGGCCCUAUGGGUCGUAAACUUCUUUUGUAUGUGAGCAAUAAGGUCCACGUGUGGUCCGAUGAGAGUAGCAUACGAAUAAGCAUCGGCUAACUCCGUGCCAGCAGCCGCGGUAAUACGGAGGAUGCAAGCGUUAUCCGGAAUUAUUGGGUUUAAAGGGUGCGUAGGCUGUUUUGCAAGUCAGGGGUGAAAGCCCGGAGCUCAACUCCGGAACUGCCUUUGAUACUGCGAGGCUGGAAUACGGAUGCCGUGGGAGGAAUGAGUAGUGUAGCGGUGAAAUGCAUAGAUAUUACUCAGAACACCGAUUGCGAAGGCAUCUCACGAAUCCGUCAUUGA
rnacentral:rRNA from 1 species